rnacentral:tRNA from 1 species
GAUGGCGUGGCGGCGGAAGUGCGUGGCCGUCUCGUGCGAGGUCUGGUCGAAGAACCCGCCGUUGUCCGCGGGCUCGGGCUCGCUGCCGUCUCC